ensembl:lncRNA
AGGGAAGCAGUAAACUAAGACCGCCCUACAUGGACACGGUGGCAAUGAAAGCUUAUGUGAUCAAGUACAAACCUUUCCUUACAAGCUUUCUAACUGAUCCUCUAAGUACAAAGCGCCUCUGCUCUUUUCAUGUUACGAUCAGUAAAUGGAGGGUUUGCUGCUGUGUGGUGUAAAGUGGCCAGUCUAUUGAAGAGAGUAAAGAGGUCUGUAGUAUACAAAGGCUGGCUGUGAUGAUAAUAGUGGUAAUGAAACACAACCAAAAUAGGAAUAUGCAGUGAGAAAGAGAGAGAGAAAUGAGGUGCUGCUGCUGUGUGAGAGUUGUGAUUUGCACUCGGUCUUGCUCAAGUAUUUAUGUUUUGAAAUAUUUGAUAUUUCGUCUACUUUAUGACUGCUAUCUGUUUAUCUAAUGAAAGGCAGUUAUGUUGAAUUCUGCAUUAGUAUUAGUAUGAAGACUUUGGUCUGUUUGUUUUGCAGUGCAUGAAUGCAUUUGGUCAGAUGAGAAAUGAUGCUAUGGACCAUUAUCUUCACCUGAAAGGCACAGAUGAAGAGGGCUAGCAUGUCUCGUCCUGUAUGGAGCUCAGUUCAGAUGUCCUGUUCACUCUGGUUCCUCCUUCUGUGUUCCUCUAUCAGGUUUAAUCCUGCUGUGUCUGAAUUAGGCUCCUCUACCAGUGAAAUGGGAGAGAGACGCUGGAGGUCUGGACAGCAGGAUUCAUCAGUUGGCCAAUGGCUCACUUUUCUUUCCCCACUUAAAAGAGGAAGACUUUGGAAACUAUUCCUGCAGUGCAAAGAGAGGCAACAAACAGAUUCAGACCACUGUCAUGGUCAGCAAAGCAUGCCUGGAGGAUGUGUUCUUUCACCCUCAGUCCAUGAGAACUGAAGAGGGCCGUGAUGUUUUCCUCCAGUGUGUCUCGGGUGAUAGUUCUCCUACUGCUCAGAUUUCAUGGUUAAAAAAUGGCAGAGUUCUCACCAAAGGAAACCAGAUUCAGGGACAGUAUGGAGGAGGGAGUCAAAGGAAGACUUCUGGCACUUUGCACAUGGCUAACAUCACCAAAGCAGACCAAGGAGUCUACAUCUGUAUCACCCACAAUCCUCUGCUAAACAUAAGCAAAGGAAGUCAAGCAGCAACUCUGACAGUGCAUGGUUCCAAUGUAGACGUAAAGAUUAUUGAAGGGCCCCAAAAUCUUACUGUACCUGUUGAAAUGGAAGCUGCACUGCACUGCUUUGUUGAAGGCUUCCCAAUUCCCACAGUGCAGUGGUUUAAGGAUGGACAUCCAUUACCCAAUUCUUCUAGAUUGGAUCUGAAGAAGGACGGACAACUGCUGAUUUUUCAGUGA